UACGUAGGGGGCGAGCGUUGUCCGGAUUUAUUGGGCGUAAAGAGCUCGUAGGUGGUUUGGUAAGUCGGAUGUGAAAUCUCCAGGCUCAACCUGGAGGGGUCAUUCGAUACUGCCAUGACUAGAGUUCGGUAGGGGAGUGUGGAAUUUCUGGUGGAGCGGUGAAAUGCGCAGAUAUCAGGAGGAACACCCGUAGCGAAGGCGGCACUCUGGGCCGAUACUGACACUGAGGAGCGGAAGGCGUGGGGAGGCGAACAGG
rnacentral:rRNA from 1 species